CGGAAAAUUUUGACAUAGAAUUGCAUUAUACAUUUAUAACUAACAUAUAAUAUUUUUCAUAUUAAUGGUUAUGUGACACCCUAAAGCUAAAUUCAAGAUGAGGAAAUCAAUAGUUUUUGGUAACAUUUUGUAAGAAGUAUAAUAUUUAAAAUAAUUCUCAGAAAAAAAUAAAUAAAUCAAGACACUUAUUCCAUCAAAACAAUAAUUUGGAUAAAAUUAUUGUUUUUCAACUAGAUAUGACCUAUCAAAGGCCAAAUUUACAAGGAACAAUGAAUCCAAAAUAGAACAUUAUUUUUUUUGAAGAACAAAAUAGAACAUUAUUGAUACAAGUUAAAGUGGAUAAACAUCUUUGAUAGUCACCAACACAUCACCAACACACUGGCUUCCUUUGAAAGUUGUUUAAGGUUGCUGAUGUGACAAACCCCUAACACAAACCAUGAAGGUGAGUAAUCAAAUCAUGUUAUAUUAUAUUAGUAGUCGGUAAACAACUUACAGGUAGUUAUAUAUUCAAAUAUGAUAACUAAAUCAAAAUAUUGCAAAUUUAAAUGAUUCAUUAUAGUUUAACACAUGCACAAUAUCAAUUGGGGUUAAGUAGUCAAAAACAUCUUGUUAAUUAAAGUAAUAUAUCUACUCAUUCAUGUUCAUCAUCAAGUCAUUAAUGUGGUCACAACUAAUAGCUACACAUAUGAGUUCAGACUCAAAUUUAUCGAUUUAUAAUAAUAACAACAUCAAUAAUAAAAAUAAUAAUAGUAAUAUUAAUAGUGGUAAUAAUAAUAAUAAUAAUAAUAAUAAUAAUAAAAUUUGGAUUACACAUAAUUUUCGAGUUGGUUUCAAGCAAAACAAACUUCUAAUGAUGAAGAUUGCAACAAAAUAUUGAAACUAUUCAAUGGAAGUGUUGGUGUUUUAAGAGAGGAGAUGGAAGGGUUAUAAAAUUGAAAAUUUAUACUUGAAUUGCUAAAUCAUUCUUAGGAAUAUAUUUUUUUUAAAACUCGGUAACUCAUCCAAGGACCGAGUAAUCUGAGGAGACCCGUGUCACCGCCCAUUUACGGGGGUCCCCGUUUAAAGCCAGAGCAAUGUUUUGUAUGGACUUGACCACUGAAAUUGACACCAAAGAGAAUCGAACAUGAGACCUUGAGAGGAGCACACUCCAAGAUCUCAAGCCAACCACUAGGCCAAGCCCAAAUGGAUCAAUUGUAAUAAAAUUAUCUUGAAUUUGUAGCAAAAAUUGAGCAAUCUUAUUGCAUAUCCUUGUACCAUUAAGAUUAAGUUCUGCAUCUUGUUUUAACUACCUUGUUGUGUUACUUCUCUACCUAUCUUUUCUUCUCUAUUGACACUAUUGCUUUCUCUAAUAUUAGGGAUUAACUGAAUUUAUUUUCCCAAAAUAUAAAAACUUUAUCAAUAAAAACUUUAAAAAAAGUAUUAAAAAAAGUUUCAAAUAGACUAACCUGCAUUCACAAAUAUUACUAACACACCUCACAAAUGUAUUAGGGGGACACCUAAAGUAUUCUGGACAAUCACCAGCGACGUUGCAUGUUAUAUCUACAAAUUAAAAUAACAAUAAAUCAAUUUCAUCAAAAGGUAACGAAAGGUUGUGUAUAACAUAAAGAACAAAAUACAAAAUGACUUACCUUUACCGGUUACGAUAAGAGAUAGACAAAGUAAUAUAAUCAAAGCAUAAAAAGACUUGGAAAUUUGAGCCAUAUUUUUCCUCCUUUC
rnacentral:lncRNA from 1 species